rnacentral:rRNA from 1 species
GAGCUUGCUCCCUGUAUGUCAGCGGCGGACGGGUGAGUAACACGUGGGUAACCUGCCUGUAAGACUGGGAUAACUCCGGGAAACCGGGGCUAAUACCGGAUGCUUGAUUGAACCGCAUGGUUCAAUUAUAAAAGGUGGCUUCUGCUAACACUUUACAAAGGACCCCCCGCCCAUUAACUAAUUGGUGAAGUAACGGCUCCACCAGGGCACCAUGCCUAACCCAACUGAAAAGGUGAUCCGCCACCCUGGGACUGAAAACCCGCCCAAAAUCCUACCGGAAGCAACAAUAAGGAAUCCUCCGCAAUGGAACAAAGUCCGAACGAACCACCCCCCCUGAAUGAAGAAAGUUUUCCGAACCUAAAACUCUGGUGGUAAGGAAAAACAAAUUACGUUUCAAUAAGGCGGUACCUUGGCGGUACCUUAACCAAAGGGCG